rnacentral:rRNA from 1 species
GAUGAACGCUGGCGGUCUGCUUAACACAUGCAAGUCGAACGAACUCUUCGGAGUGAGUGGCGGACGGGUGAGUAACGCGUGAGAAUCUGCCUGUGGGUCGGGGACAACCACUGGAAACGGUGGCUAAUACCGGAUGAGCCGAAAGGUAAAAAAUUUAUUGCCCACAGAUGAGCUCGCGUCUGAUUAGCUAGUUGGUAAGGUAAAAGCGUACCAAGGCGACGAUCAGUAGCUGGUCUGAGAGGAUGAGCAGCCACACUGGGACUGAGACACGGCCCAGACUCCUACGGGAGGCAGCAGUGGGGAAUUUUCCGCAAUGGGCGAAAGCCUGACGGAGCAAGACCGCGUGGGGGAGGAAGGUUUUUGGAUCGUAAACCCCUUUUGUCAAGGAAGAAGUUCUGACGGUACUUGACGAAUAAGCCUCGGCUAACUCCGUGCCAGCAGCCGCGGUAAUACGGAGGAGGCAAGCGUUAUCCGGAAUGAUUGGGCGUAAAGCGUCUGUAGGUGGCCAGCUAAGUCUGCUGUUAAAGAUCACAGCUCAACUGUGGGAAGGCAGUGGAAACUGGCAAGCUAGAGGCUGGUAGGGGUAAAGGGAAUUCCCGGUGUAGCGGUGAAAUGCGUANAUAUCGGGAAGAACACCGGUGGCGAAAGCGCUUUACUGGGCCAGACCUGACACUGAAGGACGAAGCUAGGGGAGCGAAAGGGAUUAAAUACCCCUGUAGUCCUAGCUGUAACGAUGGAAACUAGGUGUA